ensembl:snoRNA small nucleolar RNA SNORA43
AUUGCCCUGCAGGUGCCGGACCUGCUGUUCUGCUGCACCUGUGACGUUGGGGCAAAGAGGAAAUGGCUGUUUCCACGCUCAGUGCUCACAACAGUGAGCACUAAGCACGGUCUGUAGCCCCACGUGC